GCAAGUCGAGCGGUAACGAGAAGUAGCUUGCUACUUCGCUGACGAGCGGCGGACGGGUGAGUAAUGCCUAGGAAAUUGCCCUGAUGUGGGGGAUAACCAUUGGAAACGAUGGCUAAUACCGCAUAAUGCCUUCGGGCCAAAGAGGGGGACCUUCGGGCCUCUCGCGUCAGGAUAUGCCUAGGUGGGAUUAGCUAGUUGGUGAGGUAAUGGCUCACCAAGGCGACGAUCCCUAGCUGGUCUGAGAGGAUGAUC
rnacentral:rRNA from 1 species